rnacentral:rRNA from 1 species
GACGGAGGAUGCAAGCGUUAUCCGGAAUGAUUGGGCGUAAAGCGUCCGCAGGUGGCAGUUCAAGUCUGCUGUCAAAGACCGGGGCUCAACCUCGGAAAGGCAGUGGAAACUGAACAGCUAGAGUAUGGUAGGGGCAAAGGGAAUUCCUGGUGUAGCGGUGAAAUGCGCAGAGAUCAGGAAGAACAUCGGUGGCGAAGGCGCUUUGCUGGACCAUAACUGACACUCAGGGACGAAAGCUAGGGGAGCGAAUGGG